rnacentral:rRNA from 1 species
GACGAACGCUGGCGGCGUGCUUAACACAUGCAAGUCGAACGGAAAGGCCCUGCUUUUGUGGGGUGCUCGAGUGGCGAACGGGUGAGUAACACGUGAGUAACCUGCCCUUGACUUUGGGAUAACUUCAGGAAACUGGGGCUAAUACCGGAUAGGAGCUCCUGCUGCAUGGUGGGGGUUGGAAAGCUUCGGCGGUUGGGGAUGGACUCGCGGCUUACCAGCUUGUUGGUGGGGUAGUGGCUUACCAAGGCUUCGACGGGUAGCCGGCCUGAGAGGGUGACCGGCCACAAUGGGACUGAGAGACGGCCCAGACUCCUACGGGAGGCAGCAGUGGGGAAUAUUGCACAAUGAGCGGAAGCCUGAUGCAGCAGCGCCGCGUGCGGAAUGACGGCCUUCGGGUUGUGAACCGCUUUCGCCUGAGACGAAGCGUGAGUGACGGUAAUGGGUAAAGAAGCACCGGCUAACUACGUG